AUAAUCCUUAAUAAGUACAAAGUUAUACUUGUUAGAAAAACCGUAAUACAAUAUCUUGAUACCACAGCUAAUGAUCUCCGUCUGGGAUAAUUAUUAUGCUAAAAUUUGAGCUUCAUCCCUAAGUUACUAAUGAAGUAUCAUUUCCCAUGUAGCCAGCAAGCUUAAUGAACAUAUGUUAGGAAUAAUAAUGGCUUUACACCAAAAGAGAAGUGGCCCUUGUACAGAAAGACAAGGUAUGCAAA
rnacentral:misc_RNA from 1 species